UCAGAUUGUGGGCAAAGUUAAAAACUUAAAUACAAAAAGGGUGUAGAGUAUUGUAACCUUGUACAUGUUGAUCACACCACAUGUUUCAGCUACAGCUAUAAGUGCCUUGUCUCAUCAAGCAAGCUACAGUUCUUGCAAUGUUACACUUUGUGAUACUCAGUAUGAAUUGAUAAGACUAGCUGCUAUUCUAGUGGUUGUGCAGGCCACAAGGGAACAGUGCCUGGCCUUUGUGCUUGUAUGUGUCAAUUUCUCUCUUUCAGUCUCGCCCAAGCCACACCAAAAUGUUAUCCACAAGUGUCGUGCCAAAAUGGCCUGGCGACAUUUCGUAUUAAGCCGUUUGACCCAUUUAUUGCACUGAUGCACACAGUGCAACCAAAUGAAGGAAAUGACAUCGCCUAGAUGCAAAGCUGCAAUACAGCACCACGGCGUCAAAAGGACAGUAUGCAAGUGGUGGUCCAGCAUCAAAACUUCAAUGUCCCUACACUACAACACUGGGAGGCCAUGCUGCAUGACAGAAGCCUGUGUGGCCAGCAGGCGCUGCUCUGUCGGGCACAGGACGUGGCAGCAACUAUUUCUCCUAAGGAUUCAAUAAACGGAUUUCUCUACCUCA